AAGACUAUACUUUCAGGGAUCAUUUCUAUAGUAUGUUACUAGAGAAGUUUCUCUGAUUGUGUAGAGUACCAAAAACCACGAGGAGGAGUUGAAAAAAAAAAAAGGGU
rnacentral:snoRNA from 1 species